GCGGCAUUGGCAUCCAAGUGGCAUCGCCGCAUCGUGCAGAUUGCUCGCUUCUUCAGCAAAGGUGGCCGACGCCAAGUUUUUUCAACCAUCCAUGCAGCAGCUGUCGCCGGAGACAUUCUACUGUGUUUAAUGAUUUCAAUGCAAGAAACUCGAUGAGCUGAAUAUAUUAAGGCUAUUACAAGGAAGCACCUCUUUGUGGCCACUGUAGAGAUAGCAGUUGUACUUGUACCCUAGGCUCUUAUCGUCGAGUUCCUUGGCAGCUGUGGUUGGUACCAAUUGGUCUUGCUCUUUCUAGCACUCCUGGGAAAUCAUAUCGCUGUUCCAGAUCGUGCCUUCUCGGAUAUGUUGUUGUCUUCUUGGCAUGGAAGACUGCUGCGUGGCUUCUCCUCUGAACAUCUAAUGAAGCGACAAAAGUCGGCAUUGACGACAUUAGAUAGUUUCUUUUGUCAGGGUUUAUCAUGCCUCAUACAUGAGCUAUAAUUAUCUCUGAUUUGAAUUGUGUAUAUACUAGGCUUCACAUGUAAUUAUUGCGUCUACAGAAAUAUUAUGUGUAUUCCUUUCUUAUUAAAUCUCUCAUACACUAGGAUUUCGUAAGUUGCUAGAUUUGUAAUACACAUUAGGAUCAUGGUUUUACGGCGCAUAAGGCAAAUUAAGCCUUGUUAUGACACUAUUUUUU